GAUGAACGCUGGCGGCGUGCCUAACACAUGCAAGUCGAGCGAACAGAUGAGGAUCUUGCCUCGCUUACGUGAGCGGCGGACGGGUGAGUAACACGUGGAUAACCGACCUAGAAGACUGGGAUAACUACGGGAAACCGGAGCCAAUAUCGGACAAUAUAUUGAACCGCAUGGUUCAAUAGUGAAAGACGGUUUUGCUGUCACUUAUAGAUGGAUCCGCGCCGCAUUAGCUAGUUGGUAAGGUAACGGCUUACCAAGGCGACGAUGCGUAGCCGACCUGAGAGGAUGAUCAGCCACACUGGAACUGAGACACGGUCCAGACUCCUACGGGAGGCAGCAGUAGGGAAUCUUGCACAAUGGGCGAAAGCCUGACGGAGCAACGCCGCGUGUGUGAUGAAGGUCUUCGGAUCGUAAAACUCUGUUAUUAGGGAGGAACAGAUGUGUGAGUAACUCUGCACGUCUUGACGGUACCUAAACAAAAAGCAACGGCUAACUACGUG
rnacentral:rRNA from 1 species